UACAGAGGUCCCAAGCGUUGUUCGGAUUCACUGGGCGUAAAGGGUGCGUAGGCGGUCGGGUAAGUCUGAUGUGAAAUCUCACAGCUUAACUGUGAAACUGCAUUGGAUACUAUCCGGCUCGAGGAAUGGAGGGGAGACUGGAAUACUUGGUGUAGCAGUGAAAUGCGUAGAUAUCAAGUGGAACACCAGUAGCGAAGGCAGCUCGCUGGGACGUUACUGACACUGAGGCGCGAAAGCGUGGGGAGCGAACAGG
rnacentral:rRNA from 1 species